rnacentral:misc_RNA from 1 species
UCAACCCUCAAGCCCGGCUUGAUGUUGGACGUUGGUCCCCGUAACGAGGACCCGUCCCAAAGACAAUGACGGCGUCUGUUGGACCCUCGGUACACUGAGCUUUCACGAGCACGUACUCGAGUUUUAAAGGACCUUCAGCCCGGUCAAACCAUAUUUUUUUAUACAAGG